CCCCGAGAUGAUAACUAGACGAUUGGCCCUCAACUUUGCCUCUACGGCCCUUGUCCUUUAAGUUCUCGGCAAAUUGAUAUGGGAACUGCUUCUUCCUCUGUGCUCCUUCACUCGCUAUGCUUUAUUGCACGGCUGUGGGGCAUGCGGGGGGAGGAAGUGGUUUUCGUCGAGAUCCUUUCUUACACGUUGUCUCUGUGAUUUAUAUCGUUGACAUCGUUUAUUUUCUCGGAACAUUU
rnacentral:snoRNA from 1 species